UCAAAAACAUGUCCUAUUGAUAAUAAUUUUAGGUUUGACCUGCCCCCUGAUAAGUAUUAAAUGGCCGCGGUAUUUUGACCGUGCUAAGGUAGCAUAAUCAUUAGUUUUUUAAUUGAAAGCUAGAAUGAAUGGUUGGAUGAAAAAAAUUCUGUCUCUAUUUAAUUUUAAUUAUAAUUUUAUUUUUUAGUAAAAAAGCUAAAAUUUUUUUAGAAGACGAGAAGACCCUAUAGAGUUUAAUAUUUAUAAUAUUAAAAUUUAUUAGAAUUAAAUUUUUUUUUAUUUUAUAAUAUUUAAUUGGGGUGAUUGAAAAAUUAAAUUAACUUUUUUUAUUUAAUAUACAUUGAUUUAUGAAUAAUUGAUCCAUAUUUUAUGAUUAAAAGAUUAAAUUACCUUAGGGAUAACAGCGUAAUGUUUUCAAAGAGUUCUAAUCGAAGAAAAAGAUUGCGACCUCGAUGUUGGAUUAAAAUUUACUUUAGGUGCAGAAGCUUAAAAGUUGGGUCUGUUCGACCUUUAAAAUUUUACAUGAUCUGA
rnacentral:rRNA from 1 species